rnacentral:rRNA from 1 species
GAUGAACGCUAGCUACAGGCUUAACACAUGCAAGUCGAGGGGAAACGAUGAGAGAGCUUGCUCUCUUAGGCGUCGACCGGCGCACGGGUGAGUAACGCGUAUCCAACCUACCCAUUACAGGGGGAUAACCUUGCGAAAGUAAGACUAAUACCCCAUGGCAUUUUAUGGUGGCAUCAUUAUAGGAUUAAAGAUUUAUUGGUAAUGGAUGGGGAUGCGUCUGAUUAGCUUGUUGGCGGGGUAACGGCCCACCAAGGCAACGAUCAGUAGGGGUUCUGAGAGGAACGUCCCCCACAUUGGAACUGAGACACGGUCCAAACGCCUACGGGAGGCAGCAGUGAGGAAGAUUGGUCAAUGGGCGAGAGCUUGAACCAGCCAAGUAGCGUGCAGGAUGACGGCCCUAUGGGUUGUAAACUGCUUUUAUAGGGGAAUAAAGUGAGCUACGUGUAGUUUAUUGCAUGUACCCUAUGAAUAAGGACCGGCUAAUUCCGUG